AGGGUCCACCUCCCACCCGUGUUUAUUUUACCUUGUUGCUUCGGCGGGCCCGCCUUAACUGGCCGCCGGGGGGCUUACGCCCCCGGGCCCGCGCCCGCCGAAGACACCCUCGAACUCUGUCUGAAGAUUGUAGUCUGAGUGAAAAUAUAAAUUAUUUAAAACUUUCAACAACGGAUCUCUUGGUUCCGGCAUCGAUGAAGAACGCAGCGAAAUGCGAUACGUAAUGUGAAUUGCAAAUUCAGUGAAUCAUCGAGUCUUUGAACGCACAUUGCGCCCCCUGGUAUUCCGGGGGGCAUGCCUGUCCGAGCGUCAUUUCUGCCCUCAAGCACGGCUUGUGUGUUGGGCCCCGUCCUCCGAUCCCGGGGGACGGGCCCGAAAGGCAGCGGCGGCACCGCGUCCGGUCCUCGAGCGUAUGGGGCUUUGUCACCCGCUCUGUAGGCCCGGCCGGCGCUUGCCGAUCAACCCAAAUUUUUAUCCAGGUUGACCUCGGAUCAGGUAGGGAUACCCGCUGAACUUAAGCAUAUGAAUAAGCAGAGGAA
rnacentral:rRNA from 1 species